GCAUUGGUGGUUCAGUGGUAGAAUUCCUGUCUUCCAUACAGGAGGCCCAUGUUCAAUUCCUAGCCAAUGUG